rnacentral:rRNA from 1 species
GCGGCCUAUCAGCUUGUUGGUGAGGUAAUGGCUCACCAAGGCGACGACGGGUAGCCGGCCUGAGAGGGUGACCGGCCACACUGGGACUGAGACACGGCCCAGACCCCUACGGGAGGCAGCAGUGGGGAAUAUUGCACAAUGGGCGCAAGCCUGAUGCAGCAACGCCGCGUGGGGGACGAAGGCCUUCGGGUUGUAAACCCCUUUUAGCAGGGAAGAAGCGCAAGUGACGGUACCUGCAGAAAAAGCACCGGCUAACUACGUGCCAGCAGCCGCGGUAAUACGUAGGGUGCAAGCGUUGUCCGGAAUUAUUGGGCGUAAAGAGCUCGUAGGCGGUGUGUCGCGUCUGCUGUGAAAAUCCAAGGCUCAACCUUGGACCCGCAGUGGGUACGGGCACACUAGAGUGCGGUAGGGGAGAUUGGAAUUCCUGGUGCAGCGGUGGAAUGCGCAGAUAUCAGGAGGAACACCAAUGGCGAAGGCAGAUCUCUGGGCCGUAACUGACGCUGAGGAGCGAAAGCGUGGGGAGCGAACAGGAUUAGAUACCCUGGUAGUCCACGCCGUAAACGGUGGGAACUAGAUGUGGGGUCCGUUCCACGGAUUCCGUGUCGCAGCUAACGCAUUAAGUUCCCCGCCUGGGGAGUACGG